CCCGUCCUACGGGACGCAGCAGUAGGGAAUCUUCCACAAUGGACGAAAGUCUGAUGGAGCAACGCCGCGUGAGUGAAGAAGGGUUUCGGCUCGGAAAGCUCUGUUGGUAGUGAAGAAAGAUAGAGGUAGUAACUGGCCUUUAUUUGACGGUAAUUACUUAGAAAGUCACGGCUAACUACGUGCCAGCAGCCGCGGUAAUACUUAGGUGGCAAGCGUUGUCCGGAUUUAUUGGGCGUAAAGCGCGUGCAGGCGGUUUCAAAAAGCU
rnacentral:rRNA from 1 species